UAGUUGCUUCUGGCAGUUUAUCGUCAAUUCUGAUUUGUUCUGGUACUCGUGUUCGCCACAAUAUAUUUUAUUGGGUCACCGACGUUUCCUUCUGGGUGUUACAAACUUCAUGGCAAACUUAAUAUACCCUGUUCAGGGUAUAAAAAUUUAUGUAAUGCAUUGAUUAAUUAUUUUUGUAGCAUGAUUCGUGAGCCGCCCUGUAUAUGCAGAAUAUCUUAAAAUUAUAUGCAAAGUUGUUUGCGCAUUCUAAAUAUACAAAUCUGGGUAAACUCCGGUUAUAAUUUGUUUGUGGUGAAAUCCUUUUAAGUUGGCAAGUAACCCUCCGUCAAGCGGACCAUUUUAACAAUCGGCACACCAUGAACCUUCUCUAUGAUAUACGUUUUCUGGUUAAGGCAGUAAAUGGCAAAGUACGUGGCAAUGCGAGCUCUAAUCGAUCAAGGAUUCCAAAAAAUCAGAAUUUCCGAAGAAGCAGCUCAAAUACUUCAUUUACCAAAAAUACCUACAGGGCUUAGGAAAUACUACAGUGGGAGUAUCCAAAUUCAAAAUAGAAAUUAAAAAAAGAACCGAGAUUCCUAAGCGGCACAAAGUACAAUGUGGAUGCACUAAUUUUGCCAAAAUUAGCGAGUGUACAACCAGAUAAAACGUUUAAAUUGGUUAUAGAACAAUGCCAAACCUAUAUCUUAGCUGCACGCAAUUUUUAUAAAUCGGAUCGAAUCGACGUCGUUAUUGGAGGUGAUGUAUAUGCUGACAUACUAGAAGAAGGCAUAUUUAAGAAGGAUGAAAGACUAAGUCAAGCCACAAAAUGGGGCUGGAUAUUGUCGGGAAUUUUAUAACAACCGAGAAAAUACCAUAAAAUUUUAGCGGCGGUACUGCAAUAUAUGAGAAAUUAGGGAAUAGAAGUUAGUUUAACAUAUACUGAGAGAUAACAUAUACAUAAGAUGAUGAUGAAUGCCUGAAAAUAUUUGAUAAAACAAUAGUGAAAUAUAAAAAUAAUCGAUUUGCCGUCAGUCUGCCUUUUAAAAAAGAUAGAGAAUUGGCCGACUCUCGCAAAGAAGGAA